rnacentral:rRNA from 1 species
GAUGAACGCUGGCGGCGUGCCUAAUACAUGCAAGUCGAACGAAACUUCUUUAUCACCGAGUGCUUGCACUCACCGAUAAAGAGUUGAGUGGCGAACGGGUGAGUAACACGUGGGCAACCUGCCCAAAAGAGGGGGAUAACACUUGGAAACAGGUGCUAAUACCGCAUAACCAUAGUUACCGCAUGGUAACUAUGUAAAAGGUGGCUAUACUACCGCUUUUGGAUGGGCCCGCGGCGCAUUAGCUAGUUGGUAGGGUAAAGGCUUACCAAGGCAAUGAUGCGUAGCCGAAUUGCGAGGUUGAUAGGCCACAAUGGGACUGAGAAACGGCCCAAACUCCUACGGGAGGCAGCAGUAGGGAAUCUUCCACAAUGGGCGAAAGCCUGAUGGAGCAACGCCGCGUGGGUGAAGAAGGUCUUCGGAUCGUAAAACCCUGUUGUUAGAGAAGAAAGUGCGUGAGAGUAACUGUUCACGUUUCGACGGUAUCUAACCAGAAAGCCACUGCUAACUACGUG